ensembl:snRNA U6 U6 spliceosomal RNA
GUGAUCGCUUCAGCAACACAUAUACUAAAAUUGGAAUGAUGCAGAGAAGAUUAGCAUGGCUGCUGCGCAAGGAUGAUGUGAGGGCGAUCUGGCUGCAACAUCUGU